UAUUAACAGAUCUGAAACCUGCUUGAUGUUUAAUGUCGUUAUUUGAGUGUGUCUGGUGAUUAGCCAUGCUGUCAUAACCUGAGCCAGAUGAGUGAAUAAUGGCAGUGUAUGUUGGUGCUCUUGACAGAUCAAGCCCGACUGACGGCUCCAAGGAAGGCGUAGCCACUGAGACUUCAGCCAAAACAGUCAGGCAUUUGAAAGAUUUAAACUAAUUGGUGUCAACAAAGUAUUCCACUGUUUACUUUAAAUCCCUGGUGCUCAGGUAAACCGAAAAUAAUGAAGGCUACUCACUAAGCUUUUCCAUUCUCUCCAAACUUCUGUCUGGAUUUGGACAGCAAACCACAAAGCGCCUCUCAGCUGACAGCUAGUUAGCUGCCCUGUAACACUCAGAGCUCAUUUAUGGCUUACUGUGUUCCUGUGUUUUGAGCAAUGUCUUUACUCAACAGAAUGGAGCUGUCCUUUUACUAAGGGUAAGACCUGCAAAGAAAUGACCUGUCACCGUUGUUCAGUGUCUACCUACCUUCUCUUUUCUUUUCUUGCCGUUUCUAUGACUACCAGCUUCUCAAGAGCUGAGGUGCAUUUACAUUAGUGCCUGUUUGCAAGCAUAUUCACAUAUUUGCAAACAGACUUUUUUUUUUUUUUUUUUUUUUUU